GAUGAACGCUGGCAGCGUGCCUAAUACAUGCAAGUCGAGCGAACAUAUAAGGUGCUUGCUCCACUGACGUUUACGGCGUACAGAUCAGUAAUACCAGGGUAACCUACCUAUAAGACUCGAAUAAUUCUACGUAACCUUAGCUAAUUCCGGCUUACAUUUAGAACCACAUCGUUAUAAACUGAAAGAUGGUUUUGCUACCCAUUAUCUAUUGACCCGCGUCGUAUUAGCUGGUUGCUAAGGUAACGGCUUACCAAGGCAACGAUACGUAGCAGACCUGAGAGGGUGAGCAGCCACACUGGGAGUGUGAUCCGGUCCAGGCUCAUUGGGGAGGCAGCAGUAGGGCAUCUGGAGGAAUGGGUGAAAGACUGACGGAGAAACGCCGCGUGAGUGAUGAAGGUCUUCGGAUUGUAAAACGCUGUUAUUAGGGAAGAACAAUGGUGUAAGUAACUGAGCACGUCUUGACGGUACCUAAUCAGAAAGUCACGGCUAAAUACGUG
rnacentral:rRNA from 1 species